GGGACGAACGUUGGCGGCGUGCCUUACACAUGCAAGUCGUACGCGAAAGGGGAAUCCAGCUUGCUGGGGACCCCCGGUAGAGUGGCGAACGGGAGCGUAACACGUGAGGAACCUGCCUCGGAGUGGGGAAUAACCCAGAGAAAUCUGGGCUAAUUCCGCAUGAUGCAGCGCCCCGCAUGGGGACAGUUGUGAAAGACCGCCUCUGCUUGCAAGCGGUCGCUUCGAGAUGGUCUCGCGGCCUAUCAGCUUGUUGGUGGGUAAUGGCCU
rnacentral:rRNA from 1 species